rnacentral:tRNA from 1 species
UCGCGCUGCUCGUCGGUGCGGUGGGCGUCGGGUUGGGUGCCCGGCUGAUGCGCCAGUUCGAGUCCGGCCGAGGCGAGCC